CCGGGACCCCGGCGGCCGCGCGCGGAAACGAGCGCGGCCCCUCAGGCCGCUCCGCCGCCCCGGCCCCCGCCCCGGUAGCUCUUCCUCUACACGUUCUCCUGCUGCUCCUGUCUGACACCACGCACUUCUUGCCCGCUCCCUCUUCCACCCCACGGCCAGGCAGCGCCGAGCGCUUUCCCGAGGCACCGGGACGGACACUGGGGCGGGAUCUCCCGCCGUCCCCCUCAGCCCCGCUCCCGGCACGGCUGCUGCCCGCCCCCGGGAGCCGGCCAGGACUCCAGCCAAAGCGGUGGAUAUAGGAAUCUGGGAUAACCGGUUCAGUGAGAUGGCUGUAGCAGUGUUGUCGCUGUGGAGACAGGAGCACCAAGGUUUGAACAGAGUUAGUAACCAGAAAUAUUGUGAAGAUAUAUCCAAGUCACCAUGCUACUGAUAUCCUGAGUAGUGAAAGGUGCUGCAGAGGGACAUCCAUGUUCCUCAUGGCUGAAGAGAGGAGGAAGGACGUGGGAAACAGGGAAGUGACUGACCUACAAAUGUAUUGGACGGCUGCUGCUGGUGAGUAAGAAAAAAGCUUGGUCAAAAAGUUCUCCACCACUGUCUUGAUAAACUUCUUCUGACCAUGUGAAAUACUGGCUUUAAUAAAGUACACAACAAGAUUUAAUGGUAUUGGAAU
rnacentral:lncRNA from 1 species